ensembl:lincRNA Gm13817 predicted gene 13817
GUUUUGGAGCAGUUGUUUCCACAGUUGGGACUUGUUUGGCUUGCCCAGGAGGAUGGGAAUAGUAAAAUCAGCUUAGGGACUUGAUGCGGGAGCCGAUCUUAUUCCAUAGCACUGUAGAACUUGCUGUGUAAUAUCGAGGUUGAUCAGCACAAUUUGUUGAAGAUUAUUUUUUCCCAUGUAUAUUUCCGACUUUGUCAAAAAUCAAGAAACACUUAUGCAGCUUGGAGGAUGGCAGAGAGGAAUUGAGGUGGCCUAGGAGAGAACUUCCCGAAGAGCUAAGGGGAUCCUGUCCACAUCUGGAGCGAAGAAACCCUCCUGGUGCAGACAGCAAAAGGCCUGUUUCAAGUGAGGGAUGGCUAGUUCAAGGACAGGAGGGUGACAUCACAAGGACCAAUCUGUAAGCCAGAAGACUCAGAAGACUAAAAAGGCAAAAUUAGGUAGCAGGGGUUACCUGCUCAGAGCAGAGACAGAUGGGAAAUUUCUGUCAUCAUUAAGGUUUUAUUGACCAGCGCGGCUGAAAUUUCCCAGAGAGAGGAAUUCAUCUCGCUACCGACUGAGAGCAGACAUCCUGCUGGGAGUAGUUACAUAAAUUCUGUUGCUCAAA